rnacentral:rRNA from 1 species
GAUGAACGCUGGCGGCGUGCUUAACACAUGCAAGUCGAACGAAGCACUUUAUUUGAUUUCCUUCGGGACUGAUUAUUUUGUGACUGAGUGGCGGACGGGUAAGUAACGCGUGGGUAACCUGCCUUGUACAGGGGGAUAACAGUUGGAAACGGCUGCUAAUACCGCAUAAGCGCACAGCAUCGCAUGAUGCAGUGUGAAAAACUCCGGUGGUAUAAGAUGGACCCGCGUUGGAUUAGCUAGUUGGUGAGGUAACGGCCCACCAAGGCGACGAUCCAUAGCCGACCUGAGAGGGUGACCGGCCACAUUGGGACUGAGACACGGCCCAAACUCCUACGGGAGGCAGCAGUGGGGAAUAUUGCACAAUGGGCGAAAGCCUGAUGCAGCGACGCCGCGUGAGCGAAGAAGUAUUUCGGUAUGUAAAGCUCUAUCAGCAGGGAAGAUAAUGACGGUACCUGACUAAGAAGCACCGGCUAAAUACGUGCCAGCAGCCGCGGUAAUACGUAUGGUGCAAGCGUUAUCCGGAUUUACUGGGUGUAAAGGGAGCGCAGGCGGUGCGGCAAGUCUGAUGUGAAAGCCCGGGGCUCAACCCCUGUACUGCAUUGGAAACUGUCGUACUAGAGUGUCGGAGGGGUAAGCGGAAUUCCUAGUGUAGCGGUGAAAUGCGUAGAUAUUAGGAGGAACACCAGUGGCGAAGGCGGCUUACUGGACGAUAACUGACGCUGAGGCUCGAAAGCGUGGGGAGCAAACAGGAUAAGAUACCCUGGUAGUCCACGCCGUAAACGAUGAAUACUAGGUGUUGGGAAGCAUUGCUUCUCGGUGCCGUCGCAAACGCAGUAAGUAUUUCACCUGGGGAGUACGUUCGCAAGAAUGAAACUCAAAGGAG